CACAAUUAUGUCUUUCUUAAUUUAAUUUUUCGGAAUCUGUUUUAAUAAAUUGUAAACCUCGAUAAAUAAUUUAUUGAAUAUUUUAUAUUGUUUUAAAAUCGGUCUCUCGUCUCCGGGGGAAUAUCCGGUGGUUUUUACGGUGCAUCGUAUAUAAUACGAAUCGAUUCUUCCUCGACAACACGGUGCACUGAAGCGCAAACAGCUGCGGAUAACGUACACGAUGGUCUGCUAUUAUACGAGAAAGAAGUAAGUAAUUUCAACAGUUUACUCUGAAAUCUAGCUCUGCUAAAAUAUCGUUGCAACAUAAUUUCAUCCACUUCUUUCAUUUCAUUAUUAGCUAAAUUGGACGAAAUGCAAUACUCCUGAUGAGAUAAAAUGUGGAGAAGACUGCCAAAAGUGAAGUUUGUGAAAUAACAUCCAUAGAAAGCAAACAAUCAGUUUACAAACAUUAUUAAUAAAAUCAAUGCUUUCUGCAAAGAAAAUUUUGAGUCACGCAGCCAGAAGAGACUUUUCGCUUUGACUUGUUAGAGGAAACAAUGUGCAAGUAUCGUUCCGUCUGAACGAGACUUGAGCCCGAUCGCUGCGUACAUGCGUCGUAGGUGGAAACCGAGGGUGGUUCGCCUCGAAACAAUCGACUCUUUGCGCUCAUCGGAUCUGGCCGCAGCGACAUUGCGCGCGGAGGACAAUAGAUCCCCGGGUUCGAUCGAGGAUGCCAUUUAUGGCAAAUGCCGUCAGCAGGCAAGUCGUCCCUGUCCUCGAGCAGCUGUCCCGCACACGGUUUUGCGAAUGCGAACAGGCGCACUGUCGAUUCGACGCUUACCAUCGGUUGAGCGUCGACUCGAGACGAUUUGAAGAAGGAAGAAAAAAGAGAAGCCAACCGAGAAAACGACGCGAAUUGACACGAGAUAUCACUUCCGGCGCGACUGGGAGAUCAAGCGAUUGCCGGGACGAUAAGCUAGAGGGGACUCUUCAUCUCACGAGCGUGUCGGCGUGUCAGCUUUUCGGAGUGUCAUGCGGCUGAUAAGACGACGUCGGCGCGCUUUUGUCUUCCUCCUCGUGUCACGCCGAGUCGAGAGCCGGGAGGGCCUGCGCUCGCCAUCUGGCGUACCUCUUUCAAUGCUCCGAGCGACCGCGAAACUCCAUCGGUAGCGACAGCGACGUACCCACACCUCAUCGAUAAUUAUUAUUAGUCGGAAUACUUAGGUGCAUUAUACUGUAUUACUUGUAACACGUGUAAUGCAUCACGCAUAAUUUUAAGUUGCAUUUAAGUUUCAAGCGACAAUUUAGUUGCAAGCGAUAAAAACAAGUGAUAGACAAGUGUCGAAGUCUCUCGUUCAAGUAAAUCGAUAUUUCGAUAUUUUAAAAGAAAAUUUUGUAUUUUUAUUAAAUUCGAGAUUUUUCUAUUAAACUAGAGAUUAUAUUAAAUUAGAGAUUCCUCCAAAGACUCCAAAUUUACAUUCGGCCAAAAGAUUGCAGCGAUUAUAUGACAUCGACAGAAGCAUACCUUUUAAUUUUUUAAUUAUUAAAUCGAGAAUUAUUUAUUUAUGUCGAGAAUUAUAAUUAAUUUUGAGGAGAAUCUUAUUUUCUCGAGCGGGAGAGUGACACAAACAGGCACUCAUCGGGCACUUUCAAAUGCCAAAAUUUUAGAAAGACAACAAUGAACAAUCGAUCACACAGCCCGUUUCCUUUGCUUUACUCGUAUAUUUAGUGCGACACGUGUCAUGAGAUUCGCGAUUGGCGCAUCAGACCUUUAUCGAACAUUUAUCGCCAACGCGGUUAUUAAUCACGCGCAUUAGCACGCUCAGCAUGCCUUCGCACUCUCGUGACAGAGAAAUUUCCUCUGUGCCGUAGCGCGAUACGAUCUUGAAAAAUCUUCCACGGUACCGCAAUUAACUGCACGUUGUAUAACGUCGACGCGUCUAAAGCCUCAUCCACGCCGUAUAUAUUUUCACCGGAGCAUCCUCAGAAUUUUUUUGGCGCCGCGCAAUUUACGAUCAAUCGGCCUUAUGAUCAUCUUCCUGCGCCACAUUAUUCGCCGAAUGCAUUUUGUGAGAUCUAAUCUCUCUCUUUCGUACGAACGAUUAAUCUUGAUCUUUCUAACAGAUAAUCGUUCGUCAUUAAAAUGUUCCGAUUCAAUGGAUGAAACUGGGACGAAAGCUGAUCCUCACGCGACGUCGCAUUUCCAAUCCCGAAUUCUAAUCGCUUCUAUUUUGGAACGCGGUCGCCGACUAUCGGGCGAUGCUCCCGUCAAUUGAAAAUCAAUGGCAUGCAAGUGGAACGGCUGGAGGUGCGUUUUCCACGUCGAGGAAAAACCUUGCCAGUCUCUUGAUGCGAUCAUCCUCUCGCAAUGAGAGACGAAGAAAAGCGGAUUCGCGUGCGACUGCUACGUACGAUCGGAUUGUUGUCUCGUCCAGGAGACGUUGUCGCAUUUCUCGAUUUCACGUUGUGUCCGGAUGAACCGGCGUAUCGAUCUGAUUAUUACCGUCCCGAGCUCGCGACAGCCCCGUGUGACAGUUAAAUGUGCCAGCUAGUGCCGGGUAGUAGUAUUGGCGAAAUGCCGCGUGGACUAAAUCCGAACGAUUAUAAGCGACAUUCGAGAAGAUGAUUAUACGUUGCAUCUACGUCCACACAUGCUCACAAAUAUAAUAUUAUAUAUCUAGUGGCAUCGUCAAAUAUAAGCGCGCCCGAUCA